rnacentral:sRNA from 1 species
UGAUUUACUUGUUGUAUAUAGGGUAGGU